rnacentral:lncRNA from 1 species
GUGCUGCCCAGGAUCAGGAGGCUGAGACGUGAUCUGGAAGUGAGUGCCCAUCCAUACACCUUCCCCAGCUUUGGGGCCACAGAGGGACAGAAACCGCAGGCAGGCUGGCCUGGGAAUGAACCUACACCAGCCUGAAGUCAGAAGAGCCUCUAGGAGCCUCCAGCCUGGACUCUUUUUACAGAUGGGGAAACUGAGUCCCAGAGAGGGAGCAAUGAAGGAUGUCUAAGGUCAUCAGCAACGUAAAGCCAACAGCAUCAUCCUGAGUCAUGUUUGAACCUGAGGGAAAGAAACAUAUGUUCGAAGAGGUUCUGAGGCUGCUGCACCCGAUAUCAUACCUGGUUGGCCCUGGGAAAGGGCCCACCUCCAAUACAUAAACACAACCAGCUUUGACAGGCUUGCCCAGCUGAGGCAUUGGAGCAGGGCAUUUUGAUAGUGGCUGGAGGGCAGGCAGCUCAACCUCUAAACCCCCCUGGUCUGGGCACCAAGUCCUGUCCUGGGCACGGGACACAGUCCUCCAGCGAGACCAAACCCAGCUUCUCUACAGCACCAGGAAGAAGGCAAGCUGGGCCACCAGGGCGCGGCCCCAGGAAGGAAAAUCCUCCAUGGUCCUGUUGACAGAUGUGGUAUCAAAUGAAUUGUUCUCUGCUUAGACACGACUUUGAUAUUUAUUGGUUCAAAUUGCUCGGCUGACUCAGUCUUGCGGAGCCCUGAAGCAUGGCAUUGAGAAGCUGCCUAAGAAGGAGGCAGAUCCAUCAGCCUGGGUGCCCGACUGAUUACCCUGAGCAGAGCUCCCCAGCCCACCUGUGAUGGACGCAUGGAGCUUGAGCAAGGAAUAAAUAUUCGUUGCUGCCUGAGAACCCCACUGCGGAUGAGAACAAACGUUUGUUCGGCUGACCCUUUCUCAGAUCCCGCCCACUGAGAAGUGACAGUCCCUCCUCUCCCCGCCUCUCCCUGACCCCCAGCUCUCCGCGGCGGGAUCUGAGCCCUCUCCUGCUGGACUUGUGGUACUUGCUGAACAAUCUCGUGUUGUUGUCUGCCCGCUGGGAGAGAACACUGAUAAGAGAGGCGAUUAGGUGACUAAAUCUGCUGGGACUCUGAUUACACUGGACCUAUCCAAGAUCUGAGAUCAUCAACUCAUCUCAAAAUCCUUAAGCUGACCACAGCAGCAUCGUCCCUUUUGCAGUGUAAGGGAGCCCAGCUGGGACAAUGUGUGAAUCAACGCAUGAAGGAGUGAGUGAGCAGCUAACCAAAUGAAAGAAUACUCAGAUAUCUGGGGUACAGUUCCCCUCCAGGUUUGCACAGCAUCUGCUGAAGUCUCCACUAGAAACUCAAUGGAAGGUCCCCACCGGAAACUGAAAGUCUCCUAGAGUGGCUUUGAGUUGCGGUUUCACCCUCCCUGCAGAUCCACAGGUGAGGUGGAGGCUGGGGCAGAUGGAAAAUACCAACUUGAUGGUCUGUGGCCACACCAUGCUGCUCCCCAAGGCCCCUCAGAAUUUCACUGCCCAAUAUGGUAGCGCCCAGCCUGAAACGUGGCCAGUGUGAAUUGAGAUGGGCUGGAAAUGCACCAGACUUCCAAGAGCUGGACAAAAACCAUAUACGUUCCAUCCAGCUGUUUGGCAUUGGAUACUGCUGCCUCUGCUUGACUUGAGAAUGUGUGAGAAAAGCUGUGUUUAGACAACUGAAAACCAUGAGCUUGAAAGUAGUGGGGGCACACUCUUGGAGACUCCAGUUGCUCACCAGCUUGGACAAACCACUGGACUCAAAUGAUCAGGUAGAAAUUCAUCACUGGAGAGAACACAGUGGAAUGGCUUCAGCGAAAACUCACUCUGAAGGUCUUCAGGGCAACUUUAAGACUUGCCCCUGGCCGGGCACAGUGGCUUAUGCCUAUAAUCCCAGCACUUUGGGAGGCCGAGGCGGGUGGAUCACCUGAGGUCAGGAGUUCAAGACCGAAGGAACACAGGCUCAGACAUCAGUGCCAUAUCUGAAGACAUUCAGCUAAUAACAGGAUGGAGUCCAAUCUGGAACAACUGUCACGCUGAGCCUAAUUGCUGAAGAUGGUUGAAGGCACCAGGAGGCUGGAGUUUCCUGGAGGUGGUUUGUGGCCAACCGUCAAUUACUUGGGCUGCUGUGCAGUGGGGAUAGAAGGAUGAUUAGAAUCCACAGACAACCCAUUGGCCUUUGUUUACCAUUAACUUCUGUUUUCUCCACCAGCCAAGCUCCUCCAGACCCAGGAGAUGGCUCUUCCCUCUGUGUAGCACACUCUUUCCAGUCAAGGGGUCUUGCACUGCUAUUUCCCCUUCUGCUUUGCUUGGUUCAUUCUUACUGACCCUCCAAAUACUGAAGGAAUGAAUGGAGAAAUAAGUAAAUGAGAGAUGUGGCCAAGAGUCUCCAAGAGAGGAAAUUAAAAAAUCCUAUACCUGUGAGGAACUGGCCCACUUGCAAAAG